UAGCUCAAUGGUAGAGUUCCUGCCUGGCAUGCAUGAGAACCUGGGUGCAAUCCCCAG
rnacentral:tRNA from 1 species